rnacentral:lncRNA from 1 species
CAAUUUAAUUACAACCAACAUUUCCAUUCAUUUAUCUUUAACUGGACUUUGCACAAUAACACUCAAGUAACCCUAUUAUUUUAUGCAAAGAUGAGAAACAGAUUUGUACGAUUUGUUUUAUAAGAUCGAUAAAAGAGGGACGAAAGAUACCAAAGGGACAGUCAAACUCAUCAAUCUAAAACAAACUGACAACGCCAUGGCUAAAAACGAAAAAGACAAACAAACAACAGCACACACGACACAACAAAGAAAACUAAAGAAUAAACAACACUAACC